rnacentral:rRNA from 1 species
AUGGACCGUCUCCGGGCGGGGAGCCCCGUCUACGGGCGGCAGCGCAGCGGCAGCAGCACGGGCUCCACCUCCCCGGGCGGCGUCUCCCCCUCGCACCACCGCUCCUCCUCCACCUCCUCCGCGGCCUCCCUCCCGGGCGCCGGCGCCGCGGGCGUCGGGGGCAUCUCCAACGUGCGCCGCACGCAGAACGUCGCCGCGCGCGCCGCGGCCGCCAGGCUCGCGCAGGUCAUGUCCUCCCAGAGCGCCGCCGCGGCCGCCGGGGACGACGACGACGAGGACGACUACGCCAACGACCACCCGCCCCCGCCCCCCGCCAGGUUCGGCAGCGGCGCCCGCGCGGGGCACGGCAGCAACGGCGUCUCCCUGCUCGGCCGCACCGCGAGAUCUCCCUCCCCUGCGUUAGGUCGGAACAUUGUAGAGCCGCCUCCUACAGUCCGCUCAGCAUCAGCCGGGAGGACAGCCGCCAUUGCAUCACGACCGACCGCCACAGUGGUUCCACCAAUCAAAACCAGCACUACGAUCCGAACCCCGUCUCCUAUCCCGCCUGUGGCUGUGGAAUCUCCAGUGGAGCGCCCUCGACAGAAAAGGUUUGAUACAGCCCCACUUAACUCUAGAGAAUCAGCGCCACGGAGAGAGUCAUCUACGCUUCAAGAUGAGCUUGAUAUGCUACAAGAGGAGAAUGAAAGCGUUCUAGACAAGUUACGGCGUGCUGAAGAAAAAUGUGAGGAAGCAGAAGCUAGGGCCAAGGAGCUUGAGAAACAGGUAGCUGCUCUCGGAGAUGGGGUAUCCUUAGAAGCUCGCCUCUUGAGCAGGAAGGAAGCGGCACUUAAACAGCGGGAGGCUGCACUAAAGGCUGCAAGGGAAUCAAAUGAUGGUAGAAAUGGAGAAGUAUCAACAAUAAAGCAUGAACUUGAGUCUGCCAAAGAGGAGGUUGCAGCUGUUAUGGACCAGCUAAAGGAGGCAGAGUCCGAGACAAAGGCUCUCCGGUCCAUGACUCAGAGAAUGAUCUUAACCCAAGAAGAAAUGGAAGAGGUUGUCCUAAAAAGGUGCUGGCUUGCACGUUAUUGGGGCUUAGCGGUUCAAUAUGGAGUUUACCCCGAGAUCGCGGUGUCAAAGCAUGAACAUUGGUCAUCUUUAGCCCCUCUUCCUCUCGAGGUUGUUCUCUCUGCUGGUCAAAAGGCUAUUAAGGAGCAGCCUCGUAAGCAAGAAUUCAUUCAAGCAGGUGAGGAUGAUGCUCAGAGGAGAAAUAGGCUUGUGCGAGAAAUGAGUGACGUAAUGGGAGAAGGCAACAUUGAGAGCAUGCUCUCAGUUGAAAUGGGACUUAGGGAGCUUUCAUCUUUGAAGGUGGAAGAUGCUGUUGUGGUUGCACUUGGUCAACACCGGAGACCUAGCAUAGUUCGGCAAUUCACAUCAGAUUAUAAAUCACCUGGCGAACCUAAAUUCUUGGAGGCAUUUGACCUUAGCAACGAGGAGGCGGAGGAUGUUAGCUUCAAGCAUGCAUGGCUUAUAUACUUCUGGAGAAGAGCCAAAACUCAUGGUAUCGAGGAAGAUAUUGCUGACGAACGGCUUCAGUUUUGGAUUGCUCGCAACGCGGUUGCUCCAAAUUCUCAUGAUGCUAUAGAUGUGGAGCGAGGUCUGACAGAGCUCAGGAAAUUGGGCAUAGAGCAGCAGUUGUGGGAGGGCACACGUGCAGACAUCGACGAAGCUGCCUCAGCAGCGAUGGAGGACGAAUAG